GAUGAAGAACGUAGCGAAAUGCGAUAAGUAGUGUGAAUUGCAGAAUUCAGUGAAUCAUCGAAUCUUUGAACGCACAUUGCGCCCUUUGGUAUUCCAAAGGGCAUGCCUGUUCGAGCGUCAUUUGUACCCUCAAGCUUUGCUUGGUGUUGGGCGUCUUGUCUCUAGCUUUGCUGGAGACUCGCCUUAAAGUAAUUGGCAGCCGGCCUACUGGUUUCGGAGCGCAGCACAAGUCGCACUCUCUAUCAGCAAAGGUCUAGCAUCCAUAAAGCCUUUUUUUCAACUUUUGACCUCGGAUCAGGUAGGGAUACCCGCUGAACUUAAGCAUAUCAAUAAGCGGAGGA
rnacentral:misc_RNA from 1 species